ACGGUUAACGGAGCGCAAGCGACGUUCAACCGCAAAAGAAGCAGAGGGGGCUUAGUGGUGGGGUGACUGCGUACCUUUUGUAUAAUGGGUCAGCGACUUAUAUUCUGUAGCAAGGUUAACCGUAUAGGGGAGCCGGAGGGAAACCGAGUCUUAAUUGGGCGUUAAGUUGCAGGGUAUAGACCCGAAACCCGGUGAUCUAGCCAUGGGCAGGUUGAAGGUUGGGUAACACUAACUGGAGGACCGAACCGACUAAUGUUGAAAAAUUAGCGGAUGACCUGUGGCUGGGGGUGAAAGGCCAAUCAAACCGGGAGAUAGCUGGUUCUCCCCGAAAGCUAUUUAGGUAGCGCCUCGUGAAUUCAUCUCCGGGGGUAGAGCACUGUUUCGGCUAGGGGGCCAUCCCGGCUUACCAACCCGAUGCAAACUGCGAAUACCGGAGAAUGUUAUCACGGGAGACACACGGCGGGUGCUAACGUCCGUCGUGAAGAGGGAAACAACCCAGACCGCCAGCUAAGGUCCCAAAGUCAUGGUUAAGUGGGAAACGAUGUGGGAAGGCCCAGACAGCCAGGAUGUUGGCUUAGAAGCAGCCAUCAUUUAAAGAAAGCGUAAUAGCUCACUGGUCGAGUCGGCCUGCGCGGAAGAUGUAACGGGGCUAAACCAUGCACCGAAGCUGCGGCAGCGAACGUAUCACUUAAAGCGAUUCAGCGGGUUACGAUUGACGGAGCGAAGCGACGUCAAAGCGUAUACAAAGUCGAGUCGGUUUAAGGAUACGUUCGUUGGGUAGGGGAGCGUUCUGUAAGCCUGUGAAGGUGGCCUGUGAGGGUUGCUGGAGGUAUCAGAAGUGCGAAUGCUGACAUAAGUAACGAUAAAGCGGGUGAAAAGCCCGCUCGCCGGAAGACCAAGGGUUCCUGUCCAACGUUAAUCGGGGCAGGGUGAGUCGACCCCUAAGGCGAGGCCGAAAGGCGUAGUCGAUGGGAAACGGGUUAAUAUUCCCGUACUUGGUGUUACUGCGAAGGGGGGACGGAGAAGGCUAUGUUGGCCGGGCGACGGUUGUCCCGGUUUAAGCGUGUAGGUGUGUGUUCCAGGUAAAUCCGGUUCACUUUAACACUGAGGCGUGAUGACGAGGCACUACGGUGCUGAAGCAACAAAUGCCCUGCUUCCAGGAAAAGCCUCUAAGCAUCAGGUAACAUCAAAUCGUACCCCAAACCGACACAGGUGGUCAGGUAGAGAAUACCAAGGCGCUUGAGAGAACUCGGGUGAAGGAACUAGGCAAAAUGGUGCCGUAACU
rnacentral:rRNA from 1 species